UACGUAGGUGACCAGCGUUGUCCGGAUUUACUGGGCGUAAAGAGCGCGCAGGCGGUCGUUCAAGUCGGGUGUGAAAGCCCCCGGCUCAACUGGGGAGGGUCAUUCGAUACUGAUCGACUCGAAGGCAGGAGAGGGAAGUGGAAUUCCCGGUGUAGUGGUGAAAUGCGUAGAUAUCGGGAGGAACACCAGUGGCGAAGGCGACUUCCUGGCCUGUUCUUGACGCUGAGGCGCGAAAGCUAGGGGAGCAAACGGG
rnacentral:rRNA from 1 species